UGUAAAACCCUUUAAUGUUGAAAGACUAGUCGGGAAAGGAAUAAAUACGUGAUUCGACGCUACUGCCGGAAGAAUCACCGUCUAAUUACUUCCCAGCAGCAGCGGUAAUAAUGAGGGGGCUAGCGUUGUUAUCAAUUUUUGGGGGUAAUGGGGGGGUAGGUGGUUGUGAUAUUCAGAUGCGAAGUCAUUCGGCUCAUCAGAAGAACUGCAUCCGAAACUUCAUAGCUCGAGACAGGAGAGGGAAACGGAAUUCCCGGGGUAGAGGUGAAAUUUGUAGAUAUAUCGAGGAACACCAGUGGCGAAGAGGGUUUCUUGGCGUGAUCAAGACACUGAGGCGCGAAAAAGUGGGGAGCAAACACGAUUAGAUACCCCGGUAGAGCACGCGGUAAACGGUGAACACUAGAUGUAUGAGGUGUAAUACCUU
rnacentral:rRNA from 1 species